CCUCAAAUCAGCCAAGUCAACCUUUUCUUUUUAAUUAAAUUAAUUAUAAUUAAAUAUUUAUUAUUUUAGUUAAAAUAAAAUUUUAAAAAUAAUAAAACUAUUAGUAAAUCUCUCUAAUAAAUCACAUUUAAUUUAAAAAUAACUAUUAUUUAAAACUCAUAUAAAAUUUUAAAAAAUCAAAAUUAUUUUAUAAUUUAAAUACUUCUUCAGGGGGGGUCGAGGGGGGACCGAUCAAUUUUUUCACCGUCUCCCAUUCCGAAUAUGUUUAGAAAAAUUAUCCUCGUUUACUGUUCUAAAUUUGUUUAUUGGUUUUUAUUUACUCUCCAUUCAAGACAGAGUGGGGCAGGAUUUACCUCACCCUGAAUUUUUUUACAUUUCUAGACCAAGAACAGACAAAUGCAUAGGAUAUAAAUAUGCUAGCACUUAUUAUUAUUAUUAUUGUUAUUUGUUAAACUAGUAGCAUGCUAUUUCUUUCUUUAUUUUUUAACAAAAUAAAUUUAGCUAAAAUAGUAGAGUAAUUAGACUUUAAAUUUGAAAUCUCAUAUAUUAAUUAUCAAAUUUUUUUUGCCACUUACACUAGAAUCAAUAAGUUGUUGUUGUUGUUGUUAUUAUUAUUUAUAUGAUUAGCAUGUAGGAUGCUUUAAUUGGACCACGCAGAACUGAAGUUUUAAAUUAGGAAAAACUUCAAAAACCCCCCUAUCAUUUCAUAGUUUCUCACUUUGCCCCCCUGUGGUUUAAAAUGUAUCAAUUUGCCCCCUGUGGUUUCGUUUUUAUAAUUUCGGUUGCUUUUUCGUUAAUAUUUCAUUAAAUUAUAUACAAAAAACUUCAGAUACCUAUAUAAAUUUAUCAAAUAUUCACUUCAACCCUUUAAUUUUAACUUUAUUACUGAUUUAAGAAAAAAAAAUAAUGAAAUUGAUAAGAAAAAGAGAAAAAAGAAACCAUAAGGGGACAGAUUGAUACAUUUUAAAUCAUCGGGAGGCAAAGUGAGAAACUACAAAAUCACAAUAGGGUUUUUGA
rnacentral:lncRNA from 1 species